rnacentral:rRNA from 1 species
CAGUCGCCGCGGUAAUACGUAGUGUGCGAGCGUUAAUCGGAAUUACUGGGCGUAAAGCGUGCGCAGGCGGUUCGUUAAGACAGAUGUGAAAUCCCCGGGCUUAACCUGGGAACUGCAUUUGUGACUGGCAAGCUAGAGUAUGGCAGAGGGGGGUGGAAUUCCGCGUGUAGCAGUGAAAUGCGUAGAUAUGCGGAGGAACACCGAUGGCGAAGGCAGCCCCCUGGGCCAAUACUGACGCUCAUGCACGAAAGCGUGGGGAGCAAACAGGAUUAGAUACCCCCGUAGUCCCUGUCUCUUAUAC